rnacentral:lncRNA from 1 species
CGGGGGGCAGUGGUCUGUGGAGAGUCGUGCCUUCUGUUGGCGUGCACCUUCGCGUGCUGGCUGUGUCUGCAUAGAGCUGACUGUGMUGGGCGUUGCUUGCCGGAGGGCGGGCACCRYCYAGCCUAAUGUGGGGUGAUCCGCUUCAGGCUGGAAACAGAGCAGAGCAAAACCCCCGCAGCUAGCGGCUAUCAGACCGCAC